GUACGUUCUUAAAAAAAAGAAAAAAGAAAAAGAAAAACUAUUGAAAACUCGUUAGUGAUCCACUUCACGCAUCCUUUAGAUCAAAGCUUAGCAAUUGCUGUCAAAACUUGCAAUCUUCUAGGAAGGUUUUACCACUACACCAAAAAGGAUCUAUCCCUAACGUAACCACCGAUUCCUCAGGAUAUAUAUAUGCAUGAUUCACAAUUGCUUCGUCAAGUUAUAUACUAUUUUCAACCCGUUUCAAUUGCCGUUGACAUACGCCUGAUGCCCCUUCGCGAAUUUCACUUUCAUAUCCUGCCCACCAUUUGGUCUCGCCGUAAGUGACUGCUUCUGAUAAACGAGAUCACCAUAAACCAGAUCUAGCGUCGUAUACGAGGCAGUUUGGUUACUGUGCGGGUUGAUCCCCAGCGCUUCGAACUCGAAGCUGCGCAGAACGACCAAGAGCACCAUCCGCAUCUCCAUCAUGGCUAGCUCCUGGCCGAUGCAGCCCCGCGCACCGCGUUCGAAGGGUCGCCAAGCGUCUUUUGGGAUUGUCUGUGUGAGGAAACGUUCCGGUUGGAACUCACAGGGCGAAGGGAAUGAUUCCGAAUCGUAGUGCAUUGCCAAGAUACAUAUCAUUAUCAACUGAUCGUGGUGGUGAACACUUUUAAAACGUUGUGUCUAUCUACCAAACAAAGGAAGCCAGGGAGAAGAAGAAAAAAAGAAAGAAAAAAAAAAACUCCAUCUUCUUACCUUUCAUCACCCUUUGCCCGGGCGACGCUGCCAAUAGGGAAUAACCUCAAUGUUUCUUUAAUGAUGGCGGUUGUGUAGUGAAGAUCGUUGAGUUUCUCCGGGUGUGCUCUAAUCAUCUCAACAGUGCGGUUGAGAUCUGGGCUAAACACAGAAUCGUGCUCUUCACGAGCCUUCUUCAAUACUUCAGGAUUUUUGGAGAGCACCAUAAAAAUAUACUGUGCGGACGGAGAUAUCAGUAUUCAUAAUAUUUGGCAAGGGGUUUAGCUGUUUUCAAGGUCUCAAUCUUACCCCAAGGGUAUGAGCUGUGGUUUCAUGCCCAGCUGCCAAAAACGUUUUGAUGCUGCAGUCGUGUCAGCAAGGUCCUAUCUCAUUAUGAGCGGAAUGAAGAUGUGAAAUAUAAAAAGAAAGAUCAUCAUCAUCAUCGUCAGGAUGGGGACAGGUGGGCGUUUACUUCGAAACAGCCAUCUCCAUAAAGUCGCUAUCACCAGCGAUGCCCAUUGGAUUAUCCAGUUUCUGGCGAAGAACCAAAUCCAUAAUCGACCUUGACUUCUUGACGGACGACGCUUCUUCCCUUUUCAUCUCGGCGAAACGCAUGAUAACCCUCUUCUCAAUAUACCGAUUGACUUUCCACACCAGGAUCCACUUGGGCACCAUGCCUAUCAGCCAGUUGCGAGUACUAAGCACACCAUCGAACGCAUAGUCCAAACCGUUCUUAAAAUUCCUGACGAGUUUCUUUCCAUCCUCGCUGCGGAAUGGGCUGUUGAACACGGCGCGCCCGAUCACAUUGAAUGUCAGGUCGACGCUCAGACGCGCCAUCGCAAAGGACUCCUGGGAUUUUGCAAACUUGGCCAGGUUAUCAUGGUAGAUCAGGACCUCCUCGAGCAUCCCAUCCGCCAACGUGCGGAUAUAGGCUGGCGCAAAGGCUGGCACGAAGGUAGAAUGCAGGCCUUUCCAUUUCGGCCCGUUUACGGAUAUGAUCGAACUUUUCCCCAAAAAGGGGCUGAGGUACUGGCCCACGGCGGGGUCCUUGGGAAAUGCUUGCUCCGUGGUGAUUUGCGCAGCCAGCUCGGGCUUACAUAGGACCACCAUGGGAUUCGCAAAUGGCCAGAGGUCCAGGUAGUAGAGCUCCGGCAAAUCAUAUUUACGCGAGAGAGAGAUUAACAUAUGGUGAAUAUACGCAUUUGUAGGGUAGGCCCGGUUGAUCUUGUCAGCCUCGAGUCAAUUACCUUGCAGUUGACUGGAACUUAUUGCCAGGAAGUGCAUUGCACAUAUAUCUCAGACCUACUAAAUGGCGACAUGACAGUCGGGCAUGGAGGAACCGUGACACGGUAUAGGAAAAUGUGGUCACAGCCCCAACAAGAAGCGCAAUAGUUGUAAGAUUGGGUGAUAUCAGAAGAGAAAUCGGCAUGGUUGGAAGGGCUGCUCAGCUCUGGAGGUCGUAUGGAGCGAGAUAGCUUGACCAUGGAAAAAAGGAAACGUAGGAGGAGCAAAAACAAAAAUUCAAACGCCCUCCUUGUUGGAAUUCGCUGAACUAUUAAGUACGUUCAGUACAUGGAAAUGAAAUAAUCAACAAAGAAUUCAUCCACAGGCGAACGAAAUCAGGCCAGUGUUAAUAUUAUUUAAGUUCACCUAGCCCUGGUCCCUGAAUAGCAACGCAUUCUUCGUUCGAAACCCCCCGAGGAAUUUGUUGAGCCAUUCACCGACCUCUCCCCAGCCGGAGACUUCGUCCAGCGCUGACGCUGCGGGCAUUUACGCUGCUGAGCUGGUAGGGAGUAGCCUCCGUUCGGCGCAAGCGUUGCCCCGAAAGAGCCGUCGGGCGUGGCAGGGUCGUAUAAAAAUAGAAGUGCUUCGGCUUAACUCAAGAAUGAACAAUUCGCAACGCUAAAGAAAGUCUAUCAUUUAUCGGAUACAAUACGCUGGUGUCGACUCCCAAGAACUUUAGAACCCUUGCUCCUUGCCCGCGAAAUAGCAGAUCAGGCAAUUGGUGAUUACUACGCUGCGAGUGUCGGGUUACAUAUAUUAAUUUGAUUUUGAGCUGCACUACUCCGUACACUGUAUGGAAUCGCAAAACCAACGGCUUGAAGUGGGUAAUCAAUCAGUGCGUCCUCAUCAUGGAGCAACGCUGGCCUGCUCAUCUUUAGGGUUCCUCAUUUGGUCGGGGCAUUUAUGCGACCCGUGACUCGGAAUACCGCGAUUUUCAGGAACGGAGAUUUGCACUGCAACAGCUAGUCCCUUGCUACAGUGGGGGACAUUACGCCGCCGUACAUAGUAAGUUCACCUCACUAGCCUAUAUCCUUAGGUUCAGGUGCUCUCUAGUUGCAUUCCCCCUGCGUAUUCGUAACUGAGAGACUCCGCUAUAUCAUUCUGGAUCUAGCCCUCAAGGGGGUCCUUGCCUCAGAUCAUAUAAUAAGCAGCCCCUCGUCACUUGAACUACGGUGUAGACAUGUACGCAGCAUAAGAAUCACAAUACCGUAUCAGAAUUCCUCUCUACUGAAUCCAUCUAAACUAUACAUACUAGUAGUGCUGAACCUUGCUCCGAUCUGCAGUGGCAGUUACCAAUAGAAAUGAGAUAAGAAAGGGUCUCCAAUAUCCAUCAAAAUGCGAUAAUAUCCUUUUGAAGGGAUUGGGAUUCGAUCUCACUACCUCGACUCAGCAGUGGUGGCCUCAACACCAAGUGCCUACUUGAGAAAGCAUUCCGUGAACAGCGCCCCCCUUUGCUACCCUGAGAAAAGGGGUGGUUGUUAGAUAUUAAAACGACUCAUAUAUCCAUCGCCGUUGAUGUUCAUACAUAUAGGUCAAGAGUUUUGUCAUGCCCCAGGGGCUUGGGGGUUAGCACAGUGAUGAAAAUCAUCUCGUCUGUUAUUGGAUGUUCAGUCUCCGAAUAAAGUAUGCUCCAGCCAAGCCCGCUAAUCCUAGUCAA
rnacentral:sRNA from 1 species